AAUCCUGAUAACACCAAUGUUUUCAGUUGUUGCUAAGUAAUGCUUGCCCUGAUCAAGGACUUUUCAGUCUCUCAUUCUCUGCCAGUGAGGAGGGCACAAGAAGCUGGGAGGAAGCAGAGACAGGACACCUGUUCUAAACUAGUCAAAGGGGUAUUCCAUACCACAGCACAUCAUGCCCAGUACAGAAACUGGGGGGAACUACCCAGAAGGCCCACAUCACUGCUCAGGUUGGGCUGGGUAUCGAUCAGCAGGUGUUCCCUGGAUACCAGCUGCAAUAUUACAAGAUACACAUUUGCUGUCCUCCAUUUCAAUGCAAGAUGUUUUGAAGAAUCCAAGCCAGAAACCAGUGUGAAGAUAACUUACCUUUUUAUUUGCUCUACUCCAGUCUAUUCUCAUGGAACCAGGAGCCUUUCAACCACCAGCACCCCUUUACUAUCAUUCUCCUCUGAUACAACCUAGAUUCAGCUAGCAAAUAACCAAACAUAAAGUACUGAGG